rnacentral:rRNA from 1 species
CGGAACACGUAGGUAAUCUGCCCUCGAGGGAAGAACAACUCGCCGAAAGGCGAGCUAAAUCUUCGUAACGUUUUAUGGUGGCAUCACCAUUUAACCAAACUUUCUCGGGGAUGAGCCUGCGUCUGAUUAGCUAGUUGGUAGUGUAACGGACUACCAAGGCUACGAUCAGUAGCUGGUCUGAGAGGAUGAUCAGCCACAUUGGGACUGAGACACGGCCCAG